ensembl:lncRNA
AUGGUAAGGUGUACUAUGCUGUGUUGUGUUAUGAUAUGGUAAGGUGUGCUGUGUUGUGUUGUGGUAUGGUAAGGUGUUCUGUGCUGUGUUAUGGUAAGGGGUGGUAAGGUGUUCUGUGUUGUGUUGUGGUAUGGUAAGGUGUGCUGUGUUGUGUUGUGUUGUGGUAUGGUAAGGUGUGCUGUGUUGUGUUGUGGUAUGGUAAGGUGUUCUGUGUUGUGUUGUGGUAUGGUAAGGUGUUCUGUGUUGUAUUGUGGUAUGGUAAGGUGUGCUGUGUUGUGUUAUGAUAUGAUAUGGUAAGGUGUGUUGUG